GACGAACGCUGGCGGCGUGCUUAACACAUGCAGGUCGAACGGAAAGGCCCUGCUUUUGUGGGGUGCUCGAGUGGCGAACGGGUGAGUAACACGUGAGUAACCUGCCCUUGACUUUGGGAUAACUUCAGGAAACUGGGGCUAAUACCGGAUAGGAGCUCCUGCUGCAUGGUGGGGGUUGGAAAGUUUCGGCGGUUGGGGAUGGACUCGCGGCUUAUCAGCUUGUUGGUGGGGUAGUGGCUUACCAAGGCUUUGACGGGUAGCCGGCCUGGGAGGGUGGCCGGCCACAAUGGGACUGAGAUACGGCCCAGACUCCUACGGGAGGCAGCAGUGGGGAAUAUUGCACAAUGGGCGGAGGCCUGAUGCAGCAACGCCGCGUGCGGGAUGACGGCCUUCGGGUUGUAAACCGCUUUCGCCUGUGACGAAGCGUGAGUGACGGUAAUGGGUAAAGAAGCACCGGCUAACUACGUG
rnacentral:rRNA from 1 species